rnacentral:rRNA from 1 species
CCUACGGGUGACAGCAGUGGGGAAUAUUGCACAAUGGGCGAAACCCUGAUGCAGCGACGCCGCGUGAAGGAAGAAGUAUUUCGGUAUGUAAACUUCUAUCAGCAGGGAAGAAAAUGACGGUACCUGACUCAUAUGCCACGGCUAACUACGUGCCAGCAGCCGUGGUAAUACGUAGGGGGCCGGCGUUAUCCGGAUUUACUGGGUGUAAAGGGAGCGUAGGCGGUUUAUCAAGUCAGAAGUGAAAGCCCGGGGCUCACCUACGGGACUGCUUUUGAAACUGUUGAACUGGAGUGCAGGAGAGGUAAGUGGAAUGCCUGGUGUAGCGGUGAAAUGCGUAGAUAUUAGGAGGAACACCAGUGGCGAAGGCGGCUUAC